rnacentral:misc_RNA from 1 species
GAACUGCGAUAAGUAAUGUGAAUUGCAGAAUUCAGUGAAUCAUCGAGUCUUUGAACGCACAUUGCGCCCCCUGGCAUUCCGGGGGGCAUGCCUGUCCGAGCGUCAUUGCUGCCCUUCAAGCCCGGCUUGUGUGUUGGGUCGUCGUCCCCCCCGGGGGACGGACCCGAAAGGCAGCGGCGGCACCGUGUCCGGUCCUCGAGCGUAUGGGGCUUUGCCACCCGCUCGAUUAGGACCGGUCGGGCGCCCGCCGGCGUCAAACCCCCAAUCUUUCUAAGGUUGACCUCGGAUCAGGUAGGGAUACCCGCUGAACUUAAGC